GAUGAACGCUGGCGGCGUGCCUAAUACAUGCAAGUCGAGCGAACAGACGAGGAGCUUGCUCCUUUGACGUUAGCGGCGGAGGGGUGAGUAACACGUGGGUAACUUACCUAUAAGACUGGGAUAACUUCGGGAAACCGGAGGUAAUACCGGAAAAUAUUUCGAACCGUAUGGGUCGACAGUGAAAGAUGGCACUGCUAUCACUUAUAGAUGGACCUGCGUCGUAUUAGCUAGUUGGUAAGGUAACGGCUUACCAAGGCAACGAUCAGUAGCCGACCUGAGAGGGUGAGCGGCCACACUGGAACUGAGACACGGUCCAGACUCCUACGGGAGGCAGCAGUAGGGAAUCUUCCGCAAUGGGCGAAAGCCUGACGUGGAAACGCCGCGUGAGUGAUGAAGAUCUUCGGAUAGUAAAACUCUGUUAUUAGGGAAAAACAAACGUGUAAGUAACUGUGCUCGUCUUGACGGUACCUAAUCAGAAAGCAACGGCUAACUACGUG
rnacentral:rRNA from 1 species